rnacentral:lncRNA from 1 species
UCCAUGAUUGAGAUCCCACCAUUAUCAUGAUAAAUUUAUGUCAAACUUGUUGCGGCCAAUCCCCUCGUCGUCUGAUCACCGGAAGCGAGCGCCUGCAAAAGAAGUCCACACUAAUCGGAGGUGACUCCGGCGGAGACCCUCAUGGUCAAGUCAGAGAGGAGACUAGGCAACAGUAGAAAAGAAUCAAGGAGAAGAAGAAAGAGGACUACGAGGAAGCA